rnacentral:rRNA from 1 species
AUUGAACGCUGGCGGCAGGCCUAACACAUGCAAGUCGAACGAGUGGCGGACGGGUGAGUAAUGUCUGGGAAACUGCCUGAUGGAGGGGGAUAACUACUGGAAACGGUAGCUAAUACCGCAUACCAUCAGAUGUGCCCAGAUGGGAUUAGCUAGUAGUUGGGGUAACGGCUCACCUAGGCGACGAUCCCUAGCUGGUCUGAGAGGAUGACCAGCCACACUGGAACUGAGACACGGUCCAGACUCCUACGGGAGGGAGCAGUGGGGAAUAGUGCACAAGGGGCGCAAGCCUGAUGCAGCCAUGCCGCGUGGAUGAAGAGGGCCUUGGGGUUGUAAAGGACUUUCGGCGGGGAGGCGUUACCCGCAGAAGAAGCACCGGCUAACUCCGUGCCAGCAGCCGCGGUAAUUC